rnacentral:rRNA from 1 species
ACGAACGCUGGCGGCGUGCUUAACCCAUGCAAGUCGAACGGAAAGGCCCUGCUUUUGUGGGGUGCUCGAGUGGCGAACGGGUGAGUAACACGUGAGUAACCUGCCCUUGACUUUGGGAUAACUUCCGGAAACUGGGGCUAAUACCGGAUAGGAGCUCCUGCUGCAUGGUGGGGGUUGGAAAGUUUCGGCGGUUGGGGAUGGACUCGCGGCUUAUCAGCUUGUUGGUGGGGUAGUGGCUUACCAAGGCUUUGACGGGUAGCCGGCCUGAGAGGGUGACCGGCCACAUUGGGACUGAGAUACGGCCCAGACUCCUACGGGAGGCAGCAGUGGGGAAUAUUGCACAAUGGGCGGAAGCCUGAUGCAGCAACGCCGCGUGCGGGAUGACGGCCUUCGGGUUGUAAACCGCUUUCGCCUGUGACGAAGCGUGAGUGACGGUAAUGGGUAAAGAAGCACCGGCUAACUACGUG